rnacentral:rRNA from 1 species
GGCAAAAUGAGAGUCCGACUGUCUCUUAUAACAAAUCAAUUAAACUGAUCUCCCAGUACAAAAGCUGGUAUACCCCCAUAAGACCAGAAGACCCUGUGAAGCUUUAACUAACCUAUUAAACCCCAUAAUAAUUAGUUUCGGUUGGGGCGACCUCGGAACAAAAAAGAACUUCCGAACAACAUGACUCACCAUGUACCAAGGCAGACAAGCCUCAUUAGACCCAGAAUAUCUGAUUAAUGAACCAAGUUACUCCAGGGAUAACAGCGCUAUCUUCUUCAAGAGCCCAUAUCAAAAAGAAGGUUUACGACCUCGAUGUUGGAUCAGGACAUCCUAGUAAUGCAACAGCUACUAAAGGUUCGUUUGUUCAACGAUUAACAGUGCUACGUGA